rnacentral:rRNA from 1 species
GACGAACGCUGGCGGCGUGCUUAACAUAUGCAAGUCGAACGGAAAGGCCCUGCUUUUGUGGGGUGCUCGAGUGGCGAACGGGUGAGUAACACGUGAGUAACCUGCCCUUGGCUUUGGGAUAACUUCAGGAAACUGGGGCUAAUACCGGAUAGGAGCUCCUGCUGCAUGGUGGGGGUUGGAAAGUUUCGGCGGUUGGGGAUGGACUCGCGGCUUAUCAGCUUGUUGGUGGGGUAGUGGCUUACCAAGGCUUUGACGGGUAGCCGGCCUGAGAGGGUGACCGGCCACAUUGGGACUGAGAUACGGCCCAGACUCCUACGGGAGGCAGCAGUGGGGAAUAUUGCACAAUGGGCGGAAGCCUGAUGCAGCAACGCCGCGUGCGGGAUGACGGCCUUCGGGUUGUAAACCGCUUUCGCCUGUGACGAAGCGUGAGUGACGGUAAUGGGUAAAGAAGCACCGGCUAACUACGUG